rnacentral:snRNA from 1 species
GUGAAGAAAUUCAACCAAG